AGAAUCAACGCUGGCGGCGUGCCUAACACAUGCAAGUCGCACGAGAAAGGGACUUCGGUCCUGAGUACAGUGGCGCACGGGUGAGUAACACGUGAAUAAUCUACCUCCGAGUGGGGAAUAAACUGAGAGAAAUCUUAGCUAAUACCGCAUAACACUUACGAGUCAAAGCAGCAAUGCGCUUAGAGAGGAGUUCGCGGCAGAUUAGUUAGUUGCGGGUAAUGGCCCACCAAGACGAUGAUCUGUA
rnacentral:rRNA from 1 species